UCACAACUUCAAGCAUUGCUUGGUAAUUGGGCCUCGUCCAACUAACUCCCCUAUGUGGGUAUGGGCGUGCCUCAAAGUUAGCGGCGGUGUGACCCGGUCCUCGAGCGCAUUAGUUGAAAUCGCUAUGAGAGUCUAGGUUGCCCAGCCGGAUGAAUGAAUUUUUCCCAAA
rnacentral:misc_RNA from 1 species